rnacentral:lncRNA from 1 species
GUCACACUCACCGCAGUGAGGGGGCGCGUUUUGUCUCGCUGGCGCUCUGGGAUUAUUAACUCGUAAUUUCUUCUUUUUUCCGGCGUUGUUUUCGCUAUUUACCUUCAACACUAAUCUCUAUUGAAGACUGCAAAGACUUUUAUUCACACAGUGGAGAUGUAGGAGGCUGCCAAAGAAGGGUUCACUGACCCACUGCAGGCUGCUCUUUCCUACCUGUGGGCUUGAGUCGCACUCCGCAGACAUCUUGAACCUAAAGGCCUGGGAAAAGUUAAUAAGGAGGUUCGAUCAACUGGCACCGCCCCACCUGUUUACCCUCACCUAAGUCAUCAUCACUGCCAUUGUUUUCUUCAAGUUUCUACAUUGGAGCAUUGGACAGAGAAUCCAGGUGGGAUGCACAUUCUAUGAUGGUCACCUUAGAAUCCAUAUUAUCACUCAUUAGAUCAUUGUUGGUUGUAAUAUUGAAAUAAUUAAUAAUCAAGCUU